GACGAACGCUGGCGGCGUGCUUAACACAUGCAAGUCGAACGGAAAGGCCCUGCUUUUGUGGGUUGCUCGAUUGGCGAACGGGUGAUUAACACGUGAGUAACCUGCCCUUGACUUUGGGAUAACUUCAGGAAACUGGGGCUAAUACCGGAUAGUAGCUCCUGCUGCAUGUUGGGGGUUGGAAAGUUUCGGCGGUUGGGGAUGGACUCGCGGCUUAUCAGCUUGUUGGUGGGGUAGUGGCUUACCAAGGCUUUGACGGGUAGCCGGCCUGAGAGGGUGACCGGCCACAUUGGGACUGAGAUACGGCCCAGACUCCUACGGGAGGCAGCAGUGGGGAAUAUUGCACAAUGGGCGGAAGCCUGAUGCAGCAACGCCGCGUGCGGGAUGACGGCCUUCGGGUUGUAAACCGCUUUCGCCUGUGACGAAGCGUGAGUGACGGUAAUGGGUAAAGAAGCACCGGCUAACUACGUG
rnacentral:rRNA from 1 species